rnacentral:rRNA from 1 species
GACGAACGCUGGCGGCGUGCCUAACACAUGCAAGUCGAACGGUGAAGCGCCUUCCUUUUUGGUGGGUGUGGAUGAGUGGCGAACGGGUGAGUAACACGUGAGUAACCUGCCCCCUUCUUCUGGAUAACCGCAUGAAAGUUUGGCUAACACGGGAUAUUUUGGGUCUGUCGCAUGAUGGGUCUGGGUAGGAUAUUGUUUCGGUGGGGGAUGGGCUCGCGGCCUAUCAGCUGGUUGGUGGGGUGGUGGCCUACCAAGGCGGUGACAGGUAGCCGGCCUGGGAGGGUUGCCGGGCUCACUGGGGAGGAGACACGGCCAAGACUGCUACGGGAGGCAGCCGUGACUAAUACUGGACGAAGGAGGGGAGAAUGUUGCAGCGACGCCGCGUGAGUGAUGGAGCCCUGCGGGUUGAGAGCUGCUUUCGCUAGUGAAGCAAGGCUCCCUCAUUUGUGAGUAGGUUGACGGUAGCUGGAUAAGAAGCGCCGGCUAACUACGUG